rnacentral:rRNA from 1 species
UACGAAGGGGGCUAGCGUUGCUCGGAUUUACUGGGCGUAAAGGGCGCGUAGGCGGUGUGUCAAGUCAGGCGUGAAAGCCCCGGGCUCAACCUGGGAACCGCGCUUGAGACUGGCACGCUCGAGUUCGGGAGAGGAUGGCGGAAUUCCCAGUGUAGAGGUGAAAUUCGUAGAUAUUGGGAAGAACACCGAUGGCGAAGGCAGCCAUCUGGACCGACACUGACGCUGAGGCGCGAAAGCGUGGGGAGCAAACAGG